GGGCAAGGUCAGAGAGAGAGGAGGACAAAGAGGGACUGCAAAGGGGGAGGGCAGUAGGAGGUGGUUGUCUGCACAGACCAGGUUUGAGAUGAUGAACCGGGAACUGUAGUAGUGUAGGAUUUGUGCCUUAUCUGCCAAGGGUAGCUGACGGUCACCAUAACUCAGAUGUGGGAAGGGGAUGGCUUUCCAGAGCAUGCAGAAACCAUGGAGAGGUCCUUUAGCACAUGUCCCAGAGUCGUGGAAGAUGGAGGCAGGGAAACAGCUUCUAUCUGGGGGUUUCUGAAUUCCUACAAGACAAACCCUCUUUGUUGUGUCACAGAAGAGAGACAAGCAGAGUGGGCUGCAAAGCUGGGACUGGGGUGGUGGUGGGAUGGGGAGCAGAGCAAGGCAAGGAACCCAGACAGAGCCAGCUCUCUCCUCUCUAGAUGGCAACCACAAGGCUUCCGCCAGGUUUCCCUAGAUCCUGUUUUCCACUCCAAGAUUAAAAAUCUCCCCUCAGGGGAGAAUGAAAAGGAAAUUGUGUGGUAGGCUUUUCUGUGUUUCCAGCUGACUAUUUCCAUAGAAGUGGGCAGUUGGGCCCAGUAUUUCUUAAGAUAUCUUUCCAGUAAGAGUAAAAUCCCGGAUCUGCUGAGGGCAAGAGGCAAUAGCGAGCCUCCCGUUGGUCUCAAGAGGGCUGUAAUUUCAUCUUGGCUUCAAGAUGCAUUAGGAAGUGCAUGGAGAUCCUGGGAACAGAAAAAGGGAAAGUCCUAAAUAAAGGUUUCUCAUCCAAAAGCUGUUCAUAGCGCUUAGUUAAUUUCAUCAGACUUCAGAAUGUUUUUGGUGUUUAUUAAGGUUACGUAGGUACUAUGCAGAGCAGACAUUAUCUAAGCAUCUGAGACUUCAGUAGUUCACUCCUCUGUUUUGUUAAAAAAAGAGAGAUCAAUAUUAGUUUCUCAAAAAUCAUCAGUUACUGUAUGCUUGUUUUGAUUUUAGGGUCCUUAAAAGAAAAGGAAAUGUAGUAAUCUCUAUUUGAAAUGGGACUACUUUUCCUUCUAUGUGUGCUGGCAAUCUGAGUGUCUAACAGAUAUUUCUACUAUCACUUGUUUUUCCAAUUCUUUGUGAAAGUCCCGUUUUAUACUUUCUCAGAAGUAUUUUUUUUCUUGCGGCAGUUCUGGAAAUAGCUUUUCUGUUGCAGCCAGCGAGGGGAUGUGUACCAUCCAUGAAGGCAGCCUGGAAGGCACGCACCGGCAAACUGCAAAACAACAUAACUUGUGGAAUUAACAGUUCACGUUGACACCCAUUAAAAAUAUUCAGAGAUUGACUCAGCCUGCCCAUGUUGCACAAAUAACAUGCUUGGCUCUGAAUGAUUCAAGAUCUUAUCUGGUCUCAGCACAAGUUCAGUGUGGAGGGCCUGAUCCUGUUCUCAUUAACCACCAAAGGAGUUUUGCUGUGCACUUCAAAGAGAAUUACAGGAGCCGCAUUUGCAGUGAAGCACACAUGGUUCCUGUAUCUUUUCCCUUUUUUCUUUUUAAAAAAUUGUAUUCCAAACUACAGCAAAACAAAAAGAAAGAAGGCUAGGAAGCAGUCGAAAUAAAGCUGCUGUCUGUUGAGCUGUAUUGUUGCAUGAGAACUCUGUUUGCUUGGAGCUCUUAAGUGGAAACUGAGAGUAGAAAUCUGAAAGAGCUGAGAUGGUUUUGGUUAUAUUUGUAGCUGACUACCCUCAAUUCCCAUCAUUCCCCAGGUAGAAGCCUUGCAUGGCCCGUGGUAUUUCUUUGCACCUUGCACAACUAUUUGCAAAGAACUGGAGCUGAGCCGAUGUGUGCAGCCACUGAUAUUGUAUCCGUGCAAACACAGUGCCUAUGGUGGUCACGGCAAAGGCUCUCCUAAGCCCCCGGGAAGUUUCAUUUAUUAUAAAAGUACGGUCACUGUGGAUACUGCACUGCUGUAUUCAUGUCCUGGUUUUAUGCUCAUCCCCGGGCAUCCGCUGUAGACCAUUGCUGCAGUUGGGUCAGAGUGCUGGCACAAGCUGAUGGGCAUCCUGACAUCCCCAUGUGACAUCGGGCCAUGGGCAGAGGCAUCAGAGAGGGGCACCAAAUCAGGCUGUGACCUUUGACAACCCUCCCGGUGACUGGAAGAAUAGAGCAUCUGGAUGUCAGGAAGAUAAGAAGGUUGGGAAGGCAGCUGGGUCUGCAAAUAAAAGCAACCAAACCCUAUUUUGUGAGGUUAGUAAAUAUGCCUUUUAUUUAGGUAGAUGAUGGAUAAUUUGACUGUAUUAACACCUCAUUUUCAAAAGUUGCCAUUGACUUAAUAUGCUUCAGUUUUGUAGAGGCCAAACUAGGACACUCUGUGCCAAUUUUCAUAGCUUCAAAGUGAUAUUGGUUUCUAAAUUAGAUAAACAGAGCUUUCAAAAAUUAUGUCAACUAUGUGUCAAGUUGGCAUAAAAAAAAGAGAAACACCCUAUGUCAGUGCCAUUUAACUAAACAAGUUAACAGCUAGUCAUAAAGACCAUGAAGGGAGUAAUUUAGGAGAAUAUGAGUUCCUGACUCCAGAAUUCCAGUUCUCUGACCCAAACAACAGCACUCCCACACACUGGGGAAAUGUUUAUUUGAAAUAAGCAUGGGAGUGCCAAAGCUGGAAAGCUGUAUCAAAAGAGUCCAAAGACACAGGAAACGGCAGAUUUGGAUCUGGAUUUAAAAUUCACCACUUUGACCUCUGUGCAAAAUUAAGUGCAACUCCCUCGAGUUUUGGGUAGGGCUCAGCAUCAUAUGUCAGGGAAUCGAAUGAGAGGCAAAAAUGAAAGGGCAGUAGACACCCAGGAUGGCAAGAUGUGUAGUGUUAGAGUUAAGAAGAAGCUGCUGAAGACAGGGAUUGUUUUCAAGAGAACCGGAUGAAGAGAAGAACUUGGAGAAUUGAGAGGGGAUGAAUAAAGUGGAAGGAACUUAUGUUUCAUCAUGAUUCUCAUAUGCCAUCAAAACAUUGCUCAGUUUAAGUGAUUAAGGCAGGUUUGGCACAGAACUGCUCUAAUAUGAAAACAGGGAAAAUGAAUGCUGCUUUUAAUUCUGCAGAAACAAGUCCUAGGGUUCUUUCAGAUAUCAGUGUCAUUUUUUAACCAAGCUGUUCUAUUCUGAAAGCACAGACACUUCUCAAUCUCCCCAGGGAGAUAAGUUUCCUCUUUAGUCUGGUUCCAACCUCAGAAAAAAACAGAUAGAGAUAUGAACUGCAAAUUGUUUAUAUGAACGACCUCGUGUCGAAACCUCUAGAGCUUUAUCCAUCACUGGUGAUAUACAGUUUUAAAACAAAACACUUGAUGGGAAACAAUUAUUAACAUUUACAUCUCCUUUAGUAUACUGACUUCACUGAGUUAAUAAUAAUAAUGAUGAUGAGAAACUUCAAAAGAUUAAUGGAGGCCAAAUACUUGUUUCUUUUUUCUAAGAUCUUUAAUGUAUCUCUACCAUUUUUGGAAGCUAUCAUUUCUGUGAAAAUUUUUUAUUAAAGGUUUUUUUGACUUUGGUAAUUGUCUUGGGAUUAAUAUAAUUAUUAAGAUAGAAAAAAUCUUUAAGUUGCAUUAAGAUUGGAGAUUACUUGAGGAAUACUGGAAAAAGAAGCCAGCCUUCCACUUGUUAUUACUAAGUAUGUCCAUCAUGGUUGCAUGAAAGAUGCAUCUUGCUGUAUACAAACGGACCAGAUGAAGUGCUCUAUUUGCAGCUGUGAUCGUAAUGGGGAGUGGCACACCCUCCAAAGGCAGAACAAAAAUUAAAGACUAUCCCAAAUUCUUUUAAAGGUCAAAUGUGGAUUCAGGUUUGCAGCUGGAAGCCAAACGCAGAAGGACAUCACCAUGGAGUUUGGAAAUUUUCCACUUGGAAUCUACAUUUUUCAGCAGAUUCCUCUCUGUGCAAUGAAACUACAAGAAAACAUUGACAUGAAUACAAAAGAAACAGGGAAGAUCCAGAUCCAGAUCUGAAGUUUACAUUUGCCUCAUUUCUGGUCUCCUGAUAAAGGGGCAACUGUUGCAAGUGCAGUUCAUAGAUGAUCUGGAGCCAGUGUUAGCCUUCCUUUCUUUUUCCUUUCCCUCUUAUUUUCUUUCAGUCUAAGACUGGCCUGAAAGAGAUAUGAUUCUUGCUGUGAAAACAGUCUAUGUCAUUGGACUUCUUAACAAAUUUUCUUUCAUAAUUUAUGGUCAUGGAAAAGAGUUUGAAGAGUUUCAGAAAGACAUCCUCCUUAAUCCUUCUUUCAAUCCUUUUGGAAGGCUUGGGAUGGAAAAACUAGACCCUUGAGAAAAAUAUAAGAAAAAUUACAGGAAAUUUUUUUCUCUUAGAAUGAAAAUAGAGAAAAGGAUGGAAUAAUGUCUAAAAAGAUGUUAUUACUGAUUUACUUUAUUGCUGCAUUUGCUGUUUAAUUUCAGUGAUUUAAACCACUUUCAACAAUGAACAGUAUUCCGAGUGAAAUGAUUAGGUAUUUCCAGUGCAUUUAUUCUGUAACUAAACUUUACAAUGUUAUGGCAACUAUAAUUCCAAUAGCUAUAAUUUCAAAAAUAUAUUGUGGGCCAAAUUUAUUGUUAGCAUACAACACUUCACUGCAUGUACUACAUUACUGUGAAUGCAAGUAUAGGGAUAUCACAUACAUUUUCAAGCUUUUCAUCUAGAAAUAUGGGUUUUUUUUGUAUUAGAGCCCGAGACCAACUGUUUCAGACCUAUAUGGUUAACAUUUCCUUUGGUUUACAAGACAAUACUGUUAAUGCUUUCCGGUUUAUUUUUCUCCCUCUAUUUCAUACAGAAACUGUCAGGGAAAAUUACUUUUUAUUUUAUGGGUAGCUAACCUCUCUCUACAGUAGUGUCCUAUUUCUCAUUUUAUUUUUUUAAAGUAUAUUUUUGAAUGUUCUACAUACAUACGUAUUCAUCAUUAUUAAAGCAAAAAAAGUUACUACUACAUAUAUUUCAAUUACUCCUCAGAAGUUACAUUUAAAAAAAAAAAAAGAAUUAAGAAAAUUUGUUUGGGUUUUUUUCUAAUGAGUAUUUCAUAUCCCUAGCACACAAAGGAACCCUAGGUCCCCUUUAGGGCCACGGUAGUUUGUUUGGAUAGUUAGCUGUUCAUCUUUCAAGAGUCUUACAGCUAUCUUCAAAUACCAUGUCACUACCAAUUCCUUUCACCAGUACUCAAAUGCUACAAAAUUUUGGGAAAAAAUCUGGUUCUACACCAGAGCUUCAUCAAGAACUAUUCUAGUGAUUCAAAGAAGAAGAAGAAGAGUAUUUUUUUAUGUUAUGUAUUUUUUUAUGAAACUCAAGUAAAAGACUAGAAGAAACAUCACAUAGAGGACUUACCAUACAAUACAUUGACAGAAUGGCUGGGGCUUCUGGUAGGAGUUGCUGUUGAAUAGAAGCAAGACAGUGAACAGAUUUUCAAACUAUUUAAAACUGACAUGCAAGCAGGGUGGUCUUCACAGAAGUCUUCGCUGACUAAUGCAGUCUUUACAAUUGAGGUUUAGUUUGGAUUUUACAAAAACCAUUUAUUACUUUUCAGUUAGUACAUUUUGGUUGAAAGAGAAAGUGAAAGGUGCUACUCCAUGGGAAGAACACAGUCAGGACUGCACUACUUGUUCCAUGGGACAGUACUUUUCUCCACACAUGAAAAAAUCUAAAUCUUGCUUCUACUACAUAAAGGUCAAGCGGUUUUGCCAAAGAUUCUCAGCCAUCAGAAUUACCCCAAAUGUAUGCAGCAGGGUUGCUCUCUGUCUGUAUAGUAUUUGAUGUGAAAAAUUUGUCUUUGUCAUUUUUUUAUCCUGAACUGACAGUGGUAUAUUAUGGAUCAAGCAAAUAAUACCAGACAUUUGUGUUGUGUCAUUCAACAUCCUCUUGACACAAUUAACCCACUCUAGUCAAGUUUCUUUGUCACAUAAGUGGUGAAGAAAAUGCUUUGCCAGUUUCAAAAUCCCUAAUCUAAGCAAGCUUGCACAGUGAUAGAGUUCAAAAAUACGUGUCUUAAUCACAUGCCAUUCAUUCUUUCCAGAUUUAUUCCUAAGAGAGAUCCUGUAUUAAAUAUACACACAGCUUGAGCUAUAUAACUUUUUCCAAGACCACCUUCUUCAGCCCUGUCUGGAUGUUUUCUACAUGGGUACCAAGUCCUCAGAUUCAGAAGAAAUUAUCAACCUUUCAUGCCAACAUUCAGAAUUGUGAUUAAACUCUCAGUUGUUUGUCACAAUAUACAUUUCUCAUUUAGAUUAUUCUCAUCAAAUUCUCCAGAUGGAAGCUGCAGGAUAUUUGCACGUAUUCUGGGGAAUACAAGGAAAGAUUUUUAUCAUAAGUUUUCUCCUCAUCAUUCUUCAGUCCCUUAUAUGUUUUGGUUAAUGGUAAAGUGACAGUUGCUGAACCGAGUUUUUAAAAUGCAUGUCUAUCUGUCAGUUCCAAUGCAUCUCACAGUGGCAUGCAUUAACUUAUCAUGCUUGAAAGUACAAAAAGAUUAUGCUGCAGUGAAAUGUUAACAAGGUCAUAUCAUAUACACACUAGCUCGUUGCACUUUUCUUCCUUUCAUUGCUCCUGUUAGGCAUUAUUCUGUGUCAUGCAUAAAUAAUGUUGCUCUAGAGAGAAAGUCAGUGUACUUUAUAUUACUGGUGCUGCUGUGGCAUUGAGACAGGCUGAACUUCUGAAGUGAAUGUCAGAACAUGUCACUUGCUAAAUUACUGGUACCUACCCAUCAAAGACAAGUAUAGUGGAUGAAUACAUGUAUUUGUGAAUAGAUUACUUUCUGCUUUGGAUCACCACAGCAGUAACCAUAUUGAGAUAGUUUUCAUAUAAAUGAGGUUUGGCAAAUCAUUGUCUGGCACCACACAUCUGAUUUUAUAGGACUUUUAUACAGUCUUUCAGACUGUACUGGGCGAAGCAUGGAAGUUCAGAAGAGCAGCAGAAGAGGGCAAUUCGCACACCAAGGAAAUAUUUCACAAGCAGAAAGUUUCAGCUACUGAAAACUCAGACAGAGAGCCAGAGAUGAAUAAUUUUCCCUUGACACAAUUCUGCAAUGCUAUGGUGAGUGUGCCAGUACAUCUGCUGAAAGACCUCAGCUUCUACCUACACUCCUCUGCUCCCAAAUAUAACCAGCAGCAGGCUUGGACCUCCACAAAGUCCCAGCUCCAGGUUUUUUGGCUGAUAUAAUUUGGUCUCUGAAAUGUGUCUGUGUGGGCUAUCUAGGCCUAGCUUCUGCUUCCCACCCCUUUUUAUUCCCUCCAGAUGGAAAACUGAAUUUUAGGCUAGAUAUUCCUUGCAGGUGUUGUGGUAAGAGACCUGUUUCAGAUUUUGUCUCCCCAGAUAAAUUACCACCCACAUGCAAAUUUCAGAUUUAAUUGUAAGUAAAUCUAAUAUGAUCCAUGAGUUUUUGCUUGAACAUCUGUCACAGGCUGUCUUUGCUGGUGUAUUUUUUCACAUCUAUGUGUGUUUAUCAGGAAACCUCACUUUGUCCAGGCCUAGGUUAUGUCAAAGUUAUCUGUAGCAAAUAUUUUACUUCCACGGGUAACAAACAGCAGCAAUGGUCAAUUACAAAUGGAGCCAUAGAGGUUUGUGUGGGGUGAAGGGGAAGAUAUAUUUUGUUGUUAGUGGAGGAAAAAAAAUGUGCCAUGUUAUUAUGGUUGAUCCCAUAAAUGCUGCUUGGUUUAUUUCAGCUUUAAUGGAUAUUUUUGAACAAGUAUACAGUCAUUUUAGUUUACUCAAUAAUUAUAAGAAAGGAAAUCUAAUCAAAAAUCAGGUUCAAACCAAUUGCGAGAUUAAUCUGGUUAAGGUAGAGUUGCAGGUAAUGCAAGUUUCACACCACAGACACACCUGCAUCCAGUCCUAUAGUCCCUGAGCUUGCUGUUAUCAUGCUCCAGCAAUGUUUGCUAUUAAAAUAGCAAAGCAAACUUAAAAGUUGACUUCCUGAAAUACAGUUGAGUCACUUUAGUGAUUCAACUCAUGCAGUGUUUGGUGAUCUUUCUAAUGAACUUUGAUUCUAUGCUUGUAACACCAUGAGACUUUAAUAAAUCUACGAGAUAAUUAACAUAGACAUGAAUAGAUAUGUAGGGAAAGAUUGACCUAUUGCCACUCUUCUCUCUUAGGCUGCUAGCAAUAGCUGAUAUUUAUAGCUCUCAGUUUGAAGAAGAAAUAUCUCAAUUUCUGACUCUGGAAAGAUGGAAACUCCUGGGUUAGAAGACUGUGAUAGGUAGCAACUUCUCUGGGUGGGGUGUUCUUCCGCAGGAUUUGAUUUCUUCCCUGAGACCAUGAGGUAAAGCUAUUUUAAACUCAGGACUUCUAUAUCAUUGUAAAUCCCAAACAUCCAGUGAGCCUCCAAUAUAGCAGGAAAAGUAGAAAAUCUUAAUGUAAACAUCAUUCGGUAAACUGUGUUAUUUUGGGGAAAAGUGAGUACGUCUCUGUUUUCCUGAAAUAAAAUAGAGACGCAGCUGCCCAGCUCUCUCAUGGAGGCUUUUGGGAGCUGAGGUGAGUCAGACAGCAAGAAAAGAAGCAGGUAUUUCAGCAAAGAUCCUUAGCUCAGGACAAACUAUCACCUCACGGAACUGAGAGUUCAGAGGAGAAGCAGCCACACUUUUCCUCCUUGCCCUGGGUCUUCUCAUUGGUACAAAGCAGAGUCACUAUGGCCUUGAUCAGGAAACACAGUUUUUGGGGACUUCAUAUCUCAUGAG